CAGUAGCCGCGGUAAUACGAAGGGUGCAAGCGUUAAUCGGAAUUACUGGGCGUAAAGCGUGCGUAGGCGGUGAGUUAAGUCUGCUGUGAAAUCCCCGGGCUCAACCUGGGAAUGGCAGUGGAUACUGGCUCGCUAGAGUGUGUCAGAGGAUGGUGGAAUUCCCGGUGUAGCGGUGAAAUGUGUAGAGAUCGGGAGGAACAUCAGUGGCGAAGGCGGCAACCUGGCUCAUUACUGACGCUGAGGCGCGAAAGCGUGGGGAGCAAACAGGAUUAGAUACCCCAGUAGUCCCUGUCUCUUAUAA
rnacentral:rRNA from 1 species